UGGCUCAGGACGAACGCUGGCGGCGUGCCUAACACAUGCAAGUCAAGGGGUAGCAAUACCACUGGCGCACGGGUGAGUAACGCGUAGGUUAUCUGCCCUUAACCGGAACAUAACGUCGGGAAACCGGCACUAAUAUUCCAUGAGGUACUUCGGUAUCAAAGCUUCGGCGGUUAAGGAUGAGCCUGCGUCUGAUUAGCUAGUUGGUGAGGUAAUGGCUUACCAAGGCAACGAUCAGUAGCUGGUCUGAGAGGACGAUCAGCCACACUGGAACUGAGACACGGUCCAGACUCCUACGGGAGGCAGCAGUGAGGAAUUUUGGUCAAUGGGGGAAACCCUGAACCAGCGAACCGCCGCGUGUGGGAUGAGGGGGCUUUGCCCUGUAAACUACUAUCGGGAGGGAAGAAAAGUUUCGAGCGAUCGGAACCGGGACUGUACCUCCAAAUGAAGGACCGGCUAACUACGUGCCAGCCGCUGC
rnacentral:rRNA from 1 species